CGUCCUUAGUGUCCUUGUUCCUGUCUGUGUUAGUUUUCACUAGUAUAGGCUGUUUCGGUUUUCGUUACAUUCUUUGUUUUGUAGUGUUUGUAUUUUAGAUUCGUGUUACUUUUUUGUUCAUUAAACAUGCAUCGCAAUCUACACGUUGCGUUUUGGUUGGACUCUCCUUCACCACACCUAGAAAACCGUUACACUUGGUAUCAAAGGAAGUCAUCUGUUCAUGCUCUCUUCCCAGUGUAGCCUGGUGUCACUACGGGAACAUAGACAAGAGAGAGAGAAAGAGAGAGAAUAAGAGGGAGAGAGAGAGACCUCGGCCUAAACAUCAGCACCACAGUAUCCCUGGCAACAAGGACGGGGAUGCAGGAUUGAACCACCAUGCAAGACAGCCCUUAUGGAUACUUGGUCGUUGGGGGAAACAGGACUGGAGACACGAACAGGACUGGUAGUGGGUUCGCUUGUGGUGGAGACAGGGAAGACGGAGACAAGGGAAGAGACGAGAGAGACAAGCCUGGAGCUGACAGAUUUGUCCAGCAGCACAACAGACAAUGCUGACUCUAGAGAAUGUCUGAUUGCAGAGGAAGAAGAGGAUGGUGACAGCAAGAAAAGGAAGGACAUCACAGUGAAAACAAACAUUUGGUAUCAGGACUCACAGUAAUGACAUCAGAGAUGAGGUCAGCGGAGAUUCCAAGAGCCAAUCAGUACACAGUGAGCCUCGUGUCUAUAGAGUUGGGCAUGGCUAGGGUGGAGCUAGCCCCAGAACCACUCAAGGCCCAAUUGCCUUUCAAAGAAUCUCUGGAGCCCCACCCCCUGGUGAUAACUAUGGCACGGAAUUCAAACCAAACACUGUGAAAAUUCAAUGUGGAUGCAGUUGCUUGCGAACGUAUUCACCCCC